rnacentral:rRNA from 1 species
AGUGAUCGCUGGCGGCGUGCUUAACACAUGCAAGUCGAGCGGAUUUUGGCAGCGUAUCGCCAAAAUUAGCGGCAGACGGGUGAGUAAUACUUGGGCAAUCUGCCCUUGAGAGGGAAACAACCGGCCGAAAGGCUGGCUAAUGUCCCAUAAGACCACGGGAUGGCAUCAUCCAGGGUCAAAGCUCCGCAAGGGGCGCUUGAGGAGGAGCCCGAGUCCUAUCAUGGUAGUUGGUGAGGUAACGGCUCACCAAGCCUUUGACGGGUAGCCGGCCUGAAAGGGUGAUCGGCCACACUGGCACUGAGACACGGGCCAGACUCCUACGGGAGGCAGCAGUGGGGAAUUUUGGACAAUGGGGGCAACCCUGAUCCAGCGACGUCGCGUGAAGGAU